GGAUUUAUAAAAUUUAUAGUAUAGAAUUUAUAGAUCGUAACAGGACAACAUACCGUGCACUUACCUGAGUGUAUUUUUACUGCAACUUCAGUUACUGGGUUUCUUUUCAGAAUGCCGACUAUUUAUUCUCUUAAUGUUAGGUAUUUAAUUAUCUAGAGCUAUCUAAGAAGAUGUGUUGCCUUUGUUAAUCCUUGGGGUUCAAAGUGAUACAUUUUUUCUAGGAAAGCUUCCCCAGACUUCCCUACAUAAUGCUCCUAUUUGACCAGAUAAGUGAGGAUUACUCUUUUAAAAAUAUUUCAGAUAAAAUAACGUAGUUUUUUCAGUUGCAUUAGUUGAUUCUUCCAAAUCUGAGAUUUGUAAAUUUCUUAUCCCUGACCAGGGAACCUGAAUUCUUGAAUUUGUCUCCUUAAAGACAUCUCCCACAAUAAAUCACCAAAGACAAAGAAAGAUAAGCUUCUGGCCCAGUUUUUGCUUAAAAAUUUCAAAGCACUAGGAGCACUUUAAGUCUGGUCUUGAAAGAAGGAGUUGUUUAUCAAAUCAAAGGGCUGUCGAUCCCCUGUUCAUCCUGCACUGAAGCACAUGAUGACAAUUUCAAACCUUCUUUUUGGUUCACUAACUAGAAAAGAGAAUUUCAUUGCUUAAGUGUGUAAUUCUACAGUGAUUAGCAGUACUUGUUUUUAUUGUUUCAUUUGGACAGUCAUUAAUUUUGAAACUCUUGCCACUCAUUAUAGCUGGUAGUAGUUUUAUGAAAGAUGUAAUUUAUAGCUAAAGUGGCUUUUUUUAAGCAUAGCUGCCUUUUUUAUUGUUUAAGUGUUUCUCAGCUAUAAAAUCAGUGUCAAACUGGUUAUAAAAGUAUAGCUGUGGCCAAUGAAUGUAUUUAUUUGUUUCACUAAAUUGUAACAAAACACUACUGUUAAAAAUAAAAGUGUUUGUGCUUUUA
rnacentral:lncRNA from 1 species